rnacentral:rRNA from 1 species
CAUGCAAGUCGAACGAGUCGCAAGACUAGUGGCGAACGGGUGAGUAACACGUAGGAAUUUGCCCCAGAGUGGAGAAUACCCAGCCGAAAGGUUGGCUAAUGCUCCAUGGUCCCGCAAGGGUAAAGCAGCAAUGCGCUUUGGGAGAAGCCUGCGUCCUAUCAGCUAGUUGGUGAGGUAAUGGCUUACCAAGGCUAUGACGGGUAGGGGGUGUGAGAGCAUGACCCCCCACAAUGGGACUGAGACACGGCCCAUACUCCUACGGGAGGCAGCAGUUGGGAAUUGUACACAAUGGGCGCAAGCCUGAUGUCGCGACGCCGCGUGGAGGAAGAAGGCUUUCGGGUCGUAAACUCCUUUUCCCAGGGAAAAUUGUGAUGGUACCUGGGGAAUAAGAGCCCGCUAACUACGUGCCAGCAGCUGCGGUAAUACGUAGGGCUCAAGCGUUAUCCGGAUUUAUUGGGCGUAAAGCACAUGUAGGUGGAUUGAUACGUCUCGGCUUAAAGCUCUGGGCUCAACCCAGAAUCUGGCUGAGAUACGGUCUUUCUUGUGGUCAGCAGGGGCAAACGGAAUUCCCGGUGUAGGAGUGAAAUCCGUUGAUAUCGGGAGGAACACCAAUGGCGAAGGCAGUUUGCUAGGCUGAUUCAGACACUGAGAUGUGAAAGCGUGGGGAGCGAACGGGAUUAGAUACCCCGGUAGUCCACGCCGUAAACGAUGCACACUAGGCAUUGGGAGUAUCGACCCUUCUUGUGCCGAAGCUAACGCGUUAAGUGUGCCGCCUGGGAAGUACGGUCGCAAGACUAAAACUCAAAGGAAUUGACGGGGGCUCGCACAAGCGGUGGAGCAUGUGGUUUAAUUCGACGACAGCGGGGCACCUCACCCAGGCUUGACAUCUC